rnacentral:rRNA from 1 species
UACGUAGGCAGCGAGCGUUGUUCGGAAUUACUGGGCGUAAAGGGUGCGUAGGCGGCCGUGUAAGUGUGGUGUGAAAUCUCCCGGCUUAACUGGGAGGGUGCGCUACAGACUGCAUGGCUAGAGUGUGGGAGAGGAAAGUGGAAUUCCUGGUGUAGCGGUGAAAUGCGUAGAUAUCAGGAGGAACACCGGUGGUGUAAACGGCUUUCUGGACCAUAACUGACGCUGAUGCACGAAAGCGUGGGUAGCAAACAGG